AGAGUUUGAUCCUGGCUCAGGACGAACUUUGGCGGCGUGCCUAAUACAUGCAAGUCGAGCGAGCUUGCCUAGAUGAUUUUAGUGCUUGCACUAAAUGAAACUAGAUACAAGCGAGCGGCGGACGGGUGAGUAACACGUGGGUAACCUGCCCAAGAGACUGGGAUAACACCUGGAAACAGAUGCUAAUACCGGAUAACAACACUAGACGCAUGUCUAGAGUUUGAAAGAUGGUUCUGCUAUCACUCUUGGAUGGACCUGCGGUGCAUUAGCUAGUUGGUAAGGUAACGGCUUACCAAGGCAAUGAUGCAUAGCCGAGUUGAGAGACUGAUCGGCCACAUUGGGACUGAGACACGGCCCAAACUCCUACGGGAGGCAGCAGUAGGGAAUCUUCCACAAUGGACGAAAGUCUGAUGGAGCAACGCCGCGUGAGUGAAGAAGGGUUUCGGCUCGUAAAGCUCUGUUGGUAGUGAAGAAAGAUAGAGGUAGUAACUGGCCUUUAUUUGACGGUAAUUACUUAGAAAGUCACGGCUAACUACGUGCCAGCAGCCGCGGUAAUACGUAGGUGGCAAGCGUUGUCCGGAUUUAUUGGGCGUAAAGCGAGUGCAGGCGGUUCAAUAAGUCUGAUGUGAAAGCCUUCGGCUCAACCGGAGAAUUGCAUCAGAAACUGUUGAACUUGAGUGCAGAAGAGGAGAGUGGAACUCCAUGUGUAGCGGUGGAAUGCGUAGAUAUAUGGAAGAACACCAGUGGCGAAGGCGGCUCUCUGGUCUGCAACUGACGCUGAGGCUCGAAAGCAUGGGUAGCGAACAAGAUUAGAUAUCCUGGUAGUCCAUGCCGUAAAC
rnacentral:rRNA from 1 species